rnacentral:lncRNA from 1 species
GGUUAUUCAAACAAUAAUGCUUGUGUAGGAAUUUGGCAGUCACCGACUAACCCAUGCCCAGGGCCUACACUUCGGUCACCCAUGUGUUUUGGCCUAAGCAGGCCGCAUAAACCUUGCCCUAGGGUAAUGAAAACUGAACCUCAUUCAAGAUUUUGCAUAAGUUUUGCCUAAGGCUAAUGUGUUGGACCAAUGAGGGGGAUAAAAGUUAGUCAAUCACAUUAACCUUGCCCAAGGCUUACUUCUUAGAAAAGGGUUUAACCCGAGCCUUGCCCUAGGGU